CCUGUGUACCUUUUCCUGUAAUUCAGAGCUUGUGUUCUGUGGGUUUUAUGAUAAACCUGUAAAACAUGUAAGAAUGGUUUUGCAAGUCUGAAUCGUUGAAGGCAGCAAUAAGUGGAUUUAAAGCCUGUUCUUGAGCAGACAAAGGGGAAAAGUGUGACUCUGAUGCUGAACUUGUCAUUUUUCAUUUGACUUGCCUUUAAUUAUUGAAGAAGAGAGAGAACUAGGAAAAGAAAUAGAAUUGAUUAUUGAGCACUCCUAAAAAGCUCACCAUGAUUCUGUGUAGAGCCAAAGUGAAGGAUGAUGGAACAGAGCUCUGUGCAUUAGAAGGAAAUAAACCUGAUGUCCACACAGAGUCUUACUAAUUUCUCUUUUUAAAAUGCAAAAUAAGUUUAGGAAGUGUUGGAAGUUAGUAUUUUGGGAAAGAAAUGGCAGUUCCACAAAACAUUCCAUUCCAUUUAAGAGAGGCCCUUGGACUGAUUCAUGUUGUAACUGCUGUCACUGCAAUCAGUUGGUGGUUCAGCCUUGAAACGUGCACUUGGCCUUCUAUAAAGCACUGUUUUGUUUGCCUUUCAGUGCUAUGAGUCUUGAUAAAUUGGAGAAGUGCCCAAGAGAAAUUCAUCAUCCUGAGAUACAAAAGGUAGGAAGUGACUUUUUUUGGUUUGGUUCUUUAUUGUUUUCUGGAAAUAGAAGUAAUUAAGUAUAGAUACUACUGGUUUGUUUCUUCCAGUAGCUGAUAAUACUAAUACCAAUAAUAAUAAUAAUAAGAGUAAAGUAAUACUACUUAAACUGUCUUUAUUUAUCCAUUGAACUGGCCAUUUUAAAUCUAAACUUCUAAACACAAAUCAAACCAUCAUCCUUGUAGAAUCUUUAAUAGGAGUGGGCUAAAGAUCCUGGUUUUGUUGACAGGAUUUAUUGGUUCAUGAAGAGCAAGAGGUAAGUACAAGCCUAACUACCCUCUAGCUCACAGACCUGCCCGGUGAAUAGAGCUUUGUUUUUUUGAUGGGCUUGUGAUGACUUUGAAAUCAAUUGCUCAUUCAUUACAGUAAAAAAAAAAAUUGUUUUGAACAUGACAGCAAAAAUAACUUUAAGCACAACUUAAUAAUAAUAGAUCACCAAUUUUAGUUAAUAAUUUUAUGCUAUACUCUUGGGUGAGGGAAGACUCGGACACUCAAUAUGAGAUCAGCAAGCUAUGUUUAUUGCAGAGAGUAUCAGACACUUAUAUAGCACAUAAUAAGCUUAUGAAUAUUCUGUAAGCCAAGCGAUCUAUUGGUUAAACUAUACCAUCAACUCUUCCUCAUUCCUUUGGGCCUACAUUCCCUAUUUCCCACGUCUCUCUGUCUACUUGUUAUCCUACCCAGCUAGGCCCAGGCACACGCUAUCUUGCAGGUGCAAAACUCAAAAAUACCUGUGUUCGGUACUUUCCCAGCUCCUGGUCGGCUAACGAGCGAAUGUCUGCGUGACCUCUGUCAUGGAGCCAUUUCUCCACACUAUACUGUCAAAGUUUAAAGGGAUCAGUGAAUUUUAACUCUGGAGUCCUCUAUGCUAAGGAUGCUCAGCUUACAGAUGAUGAAAUGUUCAGUAAUAUAUUUGCUGGAGCUGUGCUUACCCAAGGUUUGGGUAAAACAAGCUUUGGGUUCCUUCUGUCUCACUGGGAGUUGCCCAAUUCAGUUCCAUCUGGUGAAAUUCACCCUGAGACCUUACAGAACCAGCUCCAACUACGUGAGAGCCAUUUGCAGUUCUCUCCAGACGCCUGGAGAAUGGGCGACCUUUCUGAGGAUCCGGCGAGCGUGCUUCUGUCAAAACUCAGUCUGUGAAAUUUCUGGGGAAAACCCUUCUGUGUCCUGAAGGGUUCAAACCAUGGCGAGGAUCCAGUUAUCAGGUGCUCACCUGGAUGGUUCCAGCUGCCAAAGGGAAAGACUCUCGUAUCCUUGUCGUCGGGCUCGGUGCUGUCCAAGAAGAUACAGAGACUAAAAAAAUCAUAAGAAGCAAAAUAUGACUGCAGGGAAAAGAAGCUGGAGAGAACAGAAGGGGCUGUUUCCAAAGUGACCUACAGACAUUGGAAUGAAAUCAUUAUUUACUGUGUAAAAGAAUCACUCUCCAAAGCAUCAGCCAAGGUCUAAAUGUGCCAUUCUGCCUUUUAAAAGUACCAACAUCACAGGAUUUUUCUCAGAUUAAAGCUUCCAUGGAGUCGGAUCUCUCAAGCCUGGCCCUUGAGAAUUGUGGGCCUCCUGUGAACUGGUCUUGCCAGAAGGGCUUGCUGAGUUUUCCAUUGUGUGGAAAAGAGAUCCCAUUUGCAGCCUGAAGCCUCAUGUUUCCUGUAGGAUUUCCACUCCUAGAAUUGCACACUUUGAAGGAUUUCUUAUAGCAGAAGUUUUUUGGGAACUAGGACUCUGGUUGGAUUUGGGUCUCUGGACUCUCAGGUGAAGUGACCUUGAGACACUAGGGCAUGCAGAUUUCCUUGCUGUUGAAAAGAGCCAUUGUUCGCACCCAGGAGCCAUGGUCUGAAUGGGGGUGUCACCUCUUAAAUUUGCAAAUGUCACAGGAUUUCUUCUAAAUGAAUGGUGCUAAGAACAUAAGGUCUGGCUGGCUUUCGACUUAGAGGUGCCUCCUCUAAAUUGGUCUUCAGACGCUAGGUUGGAAAGUGUUCCUACAUAUGCCAAAUAGCCCUUGCUAUGCAAUUAAUAAGCUUCAAAUUACCAUGGAGUUGCUGCCCCUGCAAAGAUUUUGGCAGAGCCUGGUUGUGGUGCCCCACUCCACUCCACCACCCUUAGCAGGUCCUUAUGGUUGCAUGGGGAAUCAUCGUGGAGCAUGCCAACCCAGCUCCAUCCUGGGAACAGCACCUGUAUUUUACCCUAAAAUUUCUGUCCCAUUAUAGCUCCUGUUAGGAUACAAAUGUAACUUCUCGGUUUCCACUGAUUUUACCCCCAGUCAUCUUUCCAUACAGACAUUGCUCCACUCCCCAGAGGAUUAUUGUGAGCAGAUGUGAGCUCUGCUGUCCCUUUGGACUGACAAAGACAGAGGUUUUGUCCCAAGUUGCUUUUGAACCUGUCCUGCACCUGUUACGAGUCCUCAGUCUCCUGCAAUUUUGUGGGUCAGUCACAUGUAAAACAGCACAGCUGGCUGGCAUGCUUUGCUCAUGAGGGGAGACAAGAGAAGAAUCCCUCUGCUCACACCAGACCUGCAGCUGCCAAACCUCACCAAAGCACCUGAGGAGCCCUCAGGGACUGAUGGUACAGAAGGGAGGUGAUGGAGGACAGCACAGCAGGCAGCCUGCCCUCCAUCUGGGUGUGAAGAAGGCAGGGCUGGAAACUGUAAGCAACAUCCCAGCAGGUCUGGCUGAUGGUGCCACCCAGUGAUCUUCCCCUGCCUUUGGGCAGUCCCAGCUGCUGCAGCUCACUUGACAGACUCAUUGUCUAUACUGUGCUUGGCUGCACUGGAGAUGUUGAAGCCGAGGACAGUAAUGGUUGCCUUCACAUCCCCUGACUGCAGAUGGGAAGGAGGGCGAGCUCUGUCACCUUGGGAAGGCGUCUGCAGAGUCACUGCUGCCCGUCUCUGGAGCGUGGCUCCAUUGGGGGACCGUGGUAAGGACAGCAGUGCUCACUUAACUGUGCACCUGAGGACAGCUUCAGGAUCUUGUCAUACUGUGGGAGAGCAGAGCUUCACAGUAAACACCAGCUAACACACUGACUGCCAGUGUUAACACUAACAGUUCUUACCUAAAUAUUAAUACUAGUAACACUUACUAUGCGUAUUAUUAAUCCUAGUAGAGGCUGGUAGCGUUCUUUAGGCUGAGGCUUGCAUGAAGAAUACAAAAUUAAUUAACGUUGCUGAUUAUGCUAUUGUGUUGAAAUACUUGGCCUCCACUGCGGUAGCCCCACGCUUACCUCGAUGGCCUGCCCCAGCAGGUCCCAAAACACCUGGAUGCAGAUCAGCUUAAGCUUCACUGAUGUGAAGAGUUCACUCUUUAUAAUUUUUAAAAUUUUAAUAAAGGAUAAAAGGACAAAAUAAUCCAGCACUGGGAUGCUUUUAGCACACAGCCAAAGAGCACAGAGGUAGCUUAAAAACAUGUUCACUAUAUACUGUUACAUUGCUGAGGUUACAGGCAUAUUCAUUAACUUACACAUUAUUCAAACAUUCCUUUGACUUUUUGAUGUUCCAGGAACUCUCUUGUUUGGUUUUAACCUCUGACUUGUCUGCAGAACGUUCUGUAAAUUAGGUCUACAUAUUUUAUUUCUUCCUGUAGUUUUAUCCUGUUGCUUCACACUCCCUGAUAACACUGGUAAGAGUCGAUAAAUCCUUCCUGGAUGCUUAA